UACGUAGGGUGCGAGCGUUAAUCGGAAUUACUGGGCGUAAAGCGUGCGUAGGCGGUUCGUUGUGUCUGUGGUGAAAGCCCCGGGCUUAACCUGGGAAUGGCCAUGGAAACUGGCGAGCUGGAGUGUGGCAGAGGGGGGUGGAAUUCCGCGUGUAGCAGUGAAAUGCGUGGAGAUGCGGAGGAACACCGAUGGCGAAGGCAGCCCCCUGGGCUAACACUGACGCUGAGGCACGAAAGCGUGGGGAGCAAACAGG
rnacentral:rRNA from 1 species